UCCUCCUGGUGGAUCUUGAGGUUCCUUUAAAGCACCUCCACUCCUGGAACCUUCCCUGGCUCCACUAUCGAACUGCUGGGUGGGGAUCCGUUCCUGCUAUUACCCUCUUCUACUGAGAUGGGCAGCAAGACAGGACAGCACAGCUGCUCAGCAGUUCAGAGGAUGGGGAAGUUCCAGCAAGGAAAAGCAAGAAGCUCCCGAGGAGACAGAUUUUUGCUUGCAAACCACUGGCAAGCAUUCAGAGAGCAGCAUCACGGCAUGGGCUAUGAGGUGUGAAGGAAGGUAGCUGACGGAUAUGCGCUCUAUCCCACCCUUUACUGACUGGUAAGAUACAAGGGAAAGCUGGUCAGGAAUCAGGGCAGACCUGGGGUCCCAAGUCAGAAGAAGGACGCAAGGCUUACCUCUUCAUGGAUGGCCCCUUGACAGAAACCCACACAGGGCCUGCUACUGAAAGCUGGCUUGGUGUUGGGGGGCUGCUUUCUUCUGUAGUGUUUUCAAGACUCCCAUCAAUGCUCCUUCCUUCCUCGGAUGCCACUUCCAAACAGGUAGCAUUUAAGGUCUGUGCACUUGGAGCUGGUGAUAACUCCUCCAGGGAGUGCAGCAUUUGUUGCUUAGACACCUCUGUUUUGUCUUGGAGAGUUUCCCAGGUCACAUGUUCUGAGAUCAGGGCCGAUGGCCUCGUGGUUCCUGUGGUCUUCCUGGGUGCUUCUGGAGACACCCUGACGUCUGUUUCAUCUCGUGGCCCAUCAGUCUCUGGGGUUGUGCCUUGCCUCCUUCCUUCACUCGUGGUAACACUGGGUGUUACUGAGUUCCUGGUGCUCCACAGCCAAACACCCUGUGUUGUGCUGGACAUGCUUCUUGAUUUUGGAGACGGACCCUCUGGAGUGGGGACUGCUGCCCUGAUAGAGCCCUCCUCUCUGCUGCCUGUCCCCGGAACCAUUGUCCUGGCUGUUCUUAAGGUUUGUCUUCCAUUGGCUGAAGAUGUAGUUUUGCUGGUACCUGUGGUUGGAACUGUUCUGUCCCAUUCUGAGCCUGAGCCUUCUAGGAUCUGGGUGAUGCCUGAGGUCCAUCCGUUGCCUGCUGAGGAUGCUGCUCCAGGAGAUGCUGUGGUGGGCUCACCGGAAGCUGGUGCUGCUGCAUAGGUGGUGUUGGAUGGACCUGUGUGGACACACAGAGAGAAAGGCCAAGCAGGAAGGCUACCUGGGUUACCUACUCGAUUCAGCAAAGGGCCUGUAUAUUCCCUAUUCAGCUACUCAUUCAUCUACUAUGCAUGCUACCAUUCAGCAAAAGGGCAAAGAAGCUGCUGAUUGCAUCAGACUGCAGCAUUCAAAGGGAUUUAUAUGCUCGCCAGAAAGAUGGACUCUGACUAGUCAAUAUUCUAGUCUAGAAGAUCAGAGACCGAAGCUGGCAUCCUGUGUUGCUGGAUUGAGGAACUAGUACUGAAUUUUGCACCUCAGCUCUACCACAACCCAGUCCCAUCUGAACAUGGCAAAUACUUCAUCCAAAAGAAUACUGUCGAUAAAAAAAAAAUCUAAGCAAUGACAUAACCCCAGAUAUAUAAAUCCCAGCAUAAGAAUCAUGGAAAACCAAGGCUAUGUUAAAUCUUGUAAAAAUUACUAAUCCUACAGCAUUCUCCCCAAUCUU